GAAAUGCGAUAAGUAGUGUGAAUUGCAGAAUUCAGUGAAUCAUCGAAUCUUUGAACGCACAUUGCGCCCCUUGGUAUUCCAUGGGGCAUGCCUGUUCGAGCGUCAUUUGUACCCUCAAGCUCUGCUUGGUGUUGGGUGUUUGUCCCGUCUCCGCGCGUGGACUCGCCCCAAAGUGAUUGGCAGCCGGCGUACUGGUCCCGGAGCGCAGCACAUGUCGCGCAAACGAGUGCCUUGGUACGGCGGCGUCCAUAAGCCCCUCUCUCACGCUCUUGACCUCGGAUCAGGUAGGGAUACCCGCUGACCUUCAGC
rnacentral:misc_RNA from 1 species